AACGAACGCUGGCGGCAUGCCUAAUACAUGCAAGUCGAACGAGACCUUCGGGUCUAGUGGCGCACGGGUGCGUAACGCGUGGGAAUCUACCCUUGGGUUCGGAAUAACAUCGGGAAACUGAUGCUCAUACCGGAUGAUGACGUACGUCCAAAGAUUUAUCGCCCAGGGAUGAGCCCGCGUAGGAUUAGCUAGUUGGUGAGGUAAAGGCUCACCAAGGCGACGAUCCUUAGCUGGUCUGAGAGGAUGAUCAGCCACACUGGGACUGAGACACGGCCCAGACUCCUACGGGAGGCAGCAGUAGGGAAUAUUGGACAAUGGGGGCAACCCUGAUCCAGCAAUGCCGCGUGAGUGAUGAAGGCCUUAGGGUUGUAAAGCUCUUUUACCCGGGAUGAUAAUGACAGUACCGGGAGAAUAAGCCCCGGCUAACUCCGUGCCAGCAGCCGCGGUAA
rnacentral:rRNA from 1 species